rnacentral:lncRNA from 1 species
UCAUAGCAAAUGGUAUUACUUGCUUAAAUAUUUGAGGAUUAAGUAAGUUGAGUAUCAAUUUUUUUAUAACAUAUUGUAAUCCAUAGAAAAAUUGGUUAAUGAAUGCAGCAUUAUUCUACUUAAUCUCAAUUGCAAGUUGUCAAAAUUGUAAAGUGUAUAAUAUUGUUAAUCAAUUGCCUUGUUGGAAAAUUUUGAAUCUUUUUUGUAGUAAUAGAAAUUAAAUGAUGUUUUUCAUACAUAGAUCAGAACUUUGUCAAAAAGCCUCCAUAUUAUCCAAUAUUGAAUGGUUUCAUUCAAGAAAAGAUGAAAAUCAUAAUGAUGCAAAAUUUGAGACUAGUGUUCUAAUAAAUAUAAAUUAUGAUCUUGGAAUUGGAUAGCUUUG